rnacentral:rRNA from 1 species
UACGAAGGGGGCUAGCGUUGCUCGGAAUUACUGGGCGUAAAGCGCACGUAGGCGGCUUUCUAAGUCGGGGGUGAAAUCCUGGAGCUCAACUCCAGAACUGCCUUCGAUACUGGAGAGCUCGAGUCCGGGAGAGGUGAGUGGAACUGCGAGUGUAGAGGUGAAAUUCGUAGAUAUUCGCAAGAACACCAGUGGCGAAAGGCGGCUCACUGGCCCGGUACUGACGCUGAGACGCGAAAGCGUGGGGAGCAAACAGG